rnacentral:rRNA from 1 species
AGAUGGUUAAUGAGCCUCCUGUAGAGCAUAUGCAACAUAGGAAGAGCCGGGUUUAAAAGGUCCGGCGAAUACAAUCCGCGCUAAAUUCUGGUGCCAGCAGGCGCGGUAAUACCAGGGCGGCGAGCAUACCUAAGCGUUACUGCGUUUAAAGGUUCCUAGCUUGAUGCAGGGCGGCUGGAGGGGUGUUCAUAUAGAGAUCCCGAAGGCCGUCCGUUGGGGGGCUGCGCUUUAAUCUAAGUGCCUAAGAUGCUGCUUGGCCCACUUGUGGGGGCAGAGGGUGCGCGCACAACCCCCUUUUGUCCUGUCCUAUGUCGGGCAGGGCAGCAACACGGAGAAGUUCGACGGCAGGAGUAUUGUUUGACGAGAGGUGGAAUUCACUGACUCAAACAGGACUACCAGUGGCGAAAGCGCCUGCCGAGGACUCGCUCGUCAGCCAAGGACCAAAGUUGGGGUAUCGAAAACGAUUAGACACCGUUGUAGUCCCAACCACAAACUUUGCUGACUGGCCUUGUGGCACCUCGCA